rnacentral:pre_miRNA from 1 species
AUAGUACUCCCUCCGUCCCAUAUUAGCUGACUUUCUAUUACAUGUAUCUGGACACCUUUUAGGUAUAGAUACAUUUAUAUUUGGGCAAAUUUGAGUCACUUAAUAUGAGACGGAGGGAGUAUAUU